AGUGAACGCUGGCGGUAGGCCUAACACAUGCAAGUCGAACGGCAGCACAGUAAGAGCUUGCUCUUACGGGUGGCGAGUGGCGGACGGGUGAGGAAUACAUCGGAAUCUACUUUUUCGUGGGGGAUAACGUAGGGAAACUUACGCUAAUACCGCAUACGACCUACGGGUGAAAGCAGGGGAUCUUCGGACCUUGCGCGAUUGAAUGAGCCGAUGUCGGAUUAGCUAGUUGGCGGGGUAAAGGCCCACCAAGGCGACGAUCCGUAGCUGGUCUGAGAGGAUGAUCAGCCACACUGGAACUGAGACACGGUCCAGACUCCUACGGGAGGCAGCAGUGGGGAAUAUUGGACAAUGGGAGCAAGCCUGAUCCAGCCAUACCGCGUGGGUGAAGAAGGCCUUCGGGUUGUAAAGCCCCUUUGUUGGGAAAGAAAAGCAGCAGGUUAAUACCCCGCUGUUCUGACGGUACCCAAAGAAUAAGCACCGGCUAACUUCGUG
rnacentral:rRNA from 1 species